AUGGCUCCAAAUAAUCAGAAUACGAAAAGCAACAAAAAGAAGGCUCAGAAAGAGCCCAGCGCUCAGGAAUUGUGGGAAACUUUUCCGGAGGCUCUCCGGAGAGCUAUACAGGAAAAUUCAAUGACCCAAUUUGAUGAAGCUGUAAAAAAUGUUUUUACGGAGACCCCAGAAAUCCUACGGAAGCAAUGUAUUCAAGCUGGUUUCCUGAAUGAGGGUACUGGAAAUUUUAGCACUUUGGAGGAUAUAAAGUCCCAAGACAUGCUUUCCCACUUCGAGACCAACUCCGCUCUACUGGAGCAGCUCUCUGAGCUCCAAGGUAGCACUGAGCCAUUUCUCACGGAGCAUCCACAUAUGGCAGCGGAGCACACAGUAAAUUGGCUCACAAUUGCAGCACUUAGCUCAGCAAUCGACAAAAAUGAAGAAAAAUUGGCAGCUUUAUCAGAAAAAUGCGUUGUUUUUCAACUUUUCCUGGCGUCCGCCACAGGUCAGAAGCAAUUUUUCAAAAAAUUCGAAGUUUCUGAGAAUCUGGAUGAGGUUAAAGCUUUUAAGAGCCGGAUGAGGAGCAGAGCUCAGGCAAAAGGAGAGAAACCAGAGAAAAUUAAUUUGAAUCAAGGUACUGUCGAUUCUAGGCAGUUUUUGGAGGAGCUGAAGCAGUUGGAAAAUUUGAAAAAGGUGAGAUUUAUCGGGAAAUUUGUAAGAAAAUUGAUUUUAAUUGUUAAAUUCAAAUUCUACGAGUAAAACUACCCCUGCUCCAGAAUUUUUAGCUCAAAAUCUUAAAAAAUGACCAAACUCUGAUUUAAAGAAUUAUAUCCAAAACAAUUUUUUUUUUCCAAAAUUUUUUUAUUUGAAAAUCUUCAAACACAUUUUUGCAAAAUUGCUACUUUUUCUGUACUUCUAAGUUUAAAUUCAGACACCGUUUAGUUCAAAAUCUUUAAAUUUGGCAAAACUCCGUAUCACAAUAGUUUGGCUAGAGUCGCUACUCAGCCAAUUUGCCAAGCAUGAUCUACCGGGCUGAAAACUGCGUUAGAGGUGGAAUUUGAUUUGUGAAACUUGGUUUAAAAUGUUCAAAAUUAAGUAGAAACUCGAAUGCUGCUUUAAAAAAAUUUCAGACAGAAUUCGCCGUUCAAAACUACAACAAGCUGGUGAUCCGUGGAGAUCGUAUGGUCAAAGAAUUCCUUAUCGAAAAUCCGGAACUUUUAACGGAAGAAGCCAUCAAGUACCUAAGGAUCCUGGCCGACACGUACAGCAAAGACUUAAAUGCCAAAAAAUGCACGGAUGUUAGCAAGAAGCUGACAUAUAUUCUACAUUUUUUAACGAAAAAAAUGACUGUCGCUGAAUAUUUUGUGGAUCUUCUGGCCGCUGAUUCAGUGAAGGAGUACAAUGAUAUUUGGCUCGUGGAGCUGCGGAAAAUGAAGCAAAUGAUGGUGGAUUAUAAGAAGGCCAGGAAUCCCGAAUAG